UGGUGGAGUGAUUUGUCUGGUUUAUUCCGAUAACGAACGAGACCUUAACCUGCUAAAUAGUCACCUCGACCCUGUGUCGUGGGCCGACUUCUUAGAGGGACUGUGGACGUGAAGUCCACGGAAGUUUGAGGCAAUAACA
rnacentral:rRNA from 1 species